rnacentral:rRNA from 1 species
ACGAUCCGUAGCUGGUCUGAGAGGAUGAUCAGCCACAUCGGGACUGAGACACGGCCCGAACUCCUACGGGAGGCAGCAGUGGGGAAUAUUGGACAAUGGGGGAAACCCUGAUCCAGCCAUGCCGCGUGUGUGAAGAAGGCCCUCGGGUUGUAAAGCACUUUCAGCGAGGAAGAACGCCUAGCGGUUAAUACCCGCUAGGAAAGACAUCACUCGCAGAAGAAGCACCGGCUAACUCCGUGCCAGCAGCCGCGGUAAUACGGAGGGUGCAAGCGUUAAUCGGAAUUACUGGGCGUAAAGCGCGCGUAGGUGGCUUGAUAAGCCGGUUGUGAAAGCCCCGGGCUCAACCUGGGAACGGCAUCCGGAACUGUCAAGCUAGAGUGCAGGAGAGGAAGGUAGAAUUCCCGGUGUAGCGGUGAAAUGCGUAGAGAUCGGGAGGAAUACCAGUGGCGAAGGCGGCCUUCUGGACUGACACUGACACUGAGGUGCGAAAGCGUGGGUAGCAAACAGGAUUAGAUACCCUGGUAGUCCACGCCGUAAACGAUGUCGACCAGCCGUUGGGUGCCUAGCGCACUUUGUGGCGAAGUUAACGCGAUAAGUCGACCGCCUGGGGAGUACGGCCGCAAGGUUAAAACUCAAAUGAAUUGACGGGGGCCCGCACAAGCGGUGGAGCAUGUGGUUUAAUUCGAUGCAACGCGAAGAACCUUACCUACUCUUGACAUCCUGCGAAUUUGGUAGAGAUACCUUAGUGCCUUCGGGAACGCAGAGACAGGUGCUGCAUGGCUGUCGUCAGCUCGUGUUGUGAAAUGUUGGGUUAAGUCCCGUAACGAGCGCAACCCUUGUCCUUAUUUGCCAGCGCGUAAUGGCGGGAACUCUAAGGAGACUGCCGGUGACAAACCGGAGGAAGGUGGGGACGACGUCAAGUCAUCAUGGCCCUUACGAGUAGGGCUACACACGUGCUACAAUGGUCGGUACAAAGGGUUGCCAACUCGCGAGAGUGAGCCAAUCCCGAAAAGCCGAUCUCAGUCCGGAUCGGAGUCUGCAACUCGACUCCGUGAAGUCGGAAUCGCUAGUAAUCGUGGAUCAGAAUGCCACGGUGAAUACGUUCCCGGGCCUUGUACACACCGCCCGUCACACCAUGGGAGUGGACUGCACCAGAAGUGGUUAGCCUAACGCAAGAGGGCGAUCACCACGGUGUGGUUCAUGACUGGGGUGAAGUCGUAACAAGGUAGCCGUAGGGGAACCUGCGGCUGGAUCACCUCCUUA